GAUCAAGAGGUUGCCGUUCUAGAGUGAUGCGGAAUUCUUGAGUCCGAAGGUGUUGUGGUUUACUGAGCUUAAUUUUAUUUUUAUUUAUUUAUUGUUAAGGGCAUAAGAGAUUUGUACUUGACUGCUUUUUACUAGGGAGGAAAUAGAUAUAUUUACUGAUUUCUUGUUUAGGAUUAGCAUCCUUGUAUGCUUGGUUGCUUUCCAACUAGACUAUACAUUGGAUAGAACAUUUGGUAAG
rnacentral:misc_RNA from 1 species